CGCCGAGCUGGAGGUGCAGGGUCAGGAGAACACAGACCUGCGGGAAGAGUUGGACAUUCUGCGUCAGGAGCUGUACAUUCUGCAGUCUCCUCCUCCAGCAGUGGUUCUUGACAGCAUCUAUAUGUCCACCGAAGAGCCAGAUGUGACCAUGGAUGAGCUGGACAACAGUGUGACCUUGGAUGAAGAACACGAGUCCUUGUGCGAGGAGGACGCCGCCAUCUUGAACAGUACCAGUGUCCCCCGUACGCAUCGCCUGGCCUGUGGCGAUGAUCAGACGUAGAACCAUGCACGGGUAGAACUCUGCUCUACGUGUUAGAGCUACGGCGACAUCAUAUUGGUCUACUACAGUCCUAUGUAUUUUACCAUAGAUUCUUUUAAUGGUCACCUAUGGUAUACAUAAUGUAUCUUUAUUGCGACUAGUUCUAUUGGUGUUGGUACGGAGAUGAUGACUAGAAUUUAGAAACGGAGGUCGACAGAAACUGAUAGCACGCUGUGAGUCUUCCAACAAGUUCAAGACCAUGCGAAAAGCUGGAAGCUCUUGUAAUCUUCCUAGUUCAUAUUUGCUCAUAAAUUUUGGAAAGCACGAUAUUUGUCCACGACACCGAUACAAGAGCAUGUCGUAGACCUACAUUUAUACACAUGAGACAUAGCUAGACCUACGCAAGGUCUUUCCCCCCUCCAAGGGCCGGUGUUCUAUGCAAGAUGUGCAUGAGAGGACGACGCUCCAAGAUAUAGCCGGGCGUAGAAAAUGAUCUUUCUUGAGUUCGAGAAGAAAGGGAAUGUCUUAUGAUGUUACACGCAGUCUCAGGCUUUUUUCUUUAGGAAUUGUCAAGAUUUUAUUAUGUAAAGGGUGCGCCAUACAGUACUUGUUACACAUGACCUGCGGUGGUUUUAUGAGAAAGAUGGUCAACCAAAAAAUGUAUCGACGCUUGAAAAAAAAACGAACAGAAAAUCAAGGUCGGUGCAAAAGAUGAUCAUUUUAAACUCCAUUCUAACUCUACCCACAGACACAAAUAAUCCAAAUUUACACCAUUCGUAAGUUAAAAACCAUUCUUAAGUUUAACGUACAA